rnacentral:rRNA from 1 species
CCGGAACACAGGUGCUGCACGGCUGUCGUCAGCUCGUGUCGUGAGAUGUUGGGUUAAGUCCCGCAACGAGCGCAACCCUUGUCAUUAGUUGUUACAAAGGGCACUCUAAUGAGACUGCCGGUGACAAACCGGAGGAAGGUGGGGAUGACGUCAAGUCCUCAUGGCCCUUAUGGGUAGGGCUUCACACGUCAUACAAUGGUCGGGACAGAGGGUUGCCAACCCGCGAGGGGGAGCUAAUCCCAUAAACCCGAUCGUAGUCCGGAUUGCAGUCUGCAACUCGACUGCAUGAAGUCGGAAUCGCUAGUAAUCGCGGAUCAGCAUGUCGCGGUGAAUACGUUCCCGGGUCUU